GGGGCUGUAGCUCAGUGGUAGAGCGCCUGCCUUGCAUGUGUGAGGCACUGGGUUCGAUCUUCAGCACCA
rnacentral:tRNA from 1 species